rnacentral:rRNA from 1 species
GAUGAACGCUGGCGGCGUGCCUAAUACAUGCAAGUCGAGCGAACGGACGAGAAGCUUGCUUUUCUGAUGUUAGCGGCGGACGGGUGAGUAACACGUGGAUAACCUACCUAUAAGACUGGGAUAACUUCGGGAAACCGGAGCCAAUACCGGAUAAUAUUUUGAACCGCAUGGUUCAAAAGUGAAAGACGGUCUUGCUGUCACUUAUAGAUGGAUCCGCGCUGCAUUAGCUAGUUGGUAAGGUAACGGCUUACCAAGGCAACGAUGCAUAGCCGACCUGAGAGGGUGAUCGGCCACACUGGAACUGAGACACGGUCCAGACUCCUACGGGAGGCAGCAGUAGGGAAUCUUCCGCAAUGGGCGAAAGCCUGACGGAGCAACGCCGCGUGAGUGAUGAAGGUCUUCGGAUCGUAAAACUCUGUUAUUAGGGAAGAACAUAUGUGUAAGUAACUGUGCACAUCUUGACGGUACCUAAUCAGAAAGCCACGGCUAACUACGUGCCAGCAGCCGCGGUAAUACGUAGGUGGCAAGCGUUAUCCGGAAUUAUUGGGCGUAAAGCGCGCGUAGGCGGUUUUUUAAGUCUGAUGUGAAAGCCCACGGCUCAACCGUGGAGGGUCAUUGGAAACUGGAAAACUUGAGUGCAGAAGAGGAAAGUGGAAUUCCAUGUGUAGCGGUGAAAUGCGCAGAGAUGUGGAGGAACACCAGUGGCGAAGGCGACUUUCUGGUCUGUAACUGACGCUGAUGUGCGAAAGCGUGGGGAUCAAACAGGAUUAGAUACCCUGGUAGUCCACGCCGUAAACGAUGAGUGCUAAGUGUUAGGGGGUUUCCGCCCCUUAGUGCUGCAGCUAACGCAUUAAGCACUCCGCCUGGGGAGUACGACCGCAAGGUUGAAACUCAAAGGAAUUGACGGGGGCCCGCACAAGCGGUGGAGCAUGUGGUUUAAUUCGAAGCAACGCGAAGAACCUUACCAAAUCUUGACAUCCUUUGACAACUCUAGAGAUAGAGCCUUCCCCUUCGGGGGACAAAGUGACAGGUGGUGCAUGGUUGUCGUCAGCUCGUGUCGUGAGAUGUUGGGUUAAGUCCCGCAACGAGCGCAACCCUUAAGCUUAGUUGCCAUCAUUAAGUUGGGCACUCUAAGUUGACUGCCGGUGACAAACCGGAGGAAGGUGGGGAUGACGUCAAAUCAUCAUGCCCCUUAUGAUUUGGGCUACACACGUGCUACAAUGGACAAUACAAAGGGCAGCGAAACCGCGAGGUCAAGCAAAUCCCAUAAAGUUGUUCUCAGUUCGGAUUGUAGUCUGCAACUCGACUACAUGAAGCUGGAAUCGCUAGUAAUCGUAGAUCAGCAUGCUACGGUGAAUACGUUCCCGGGUCU